ACUCCCUCCGUCCCGCUAAAGUUGGCAACAUUCGUUUCGGCACGGACAUUAAGAAAUUAAGUGUUAUAUGUUGUAAUAGAGUGUGGCCUACAAUUGUUGACCAAAUUAGUGAGUAAUUGUUGACUUAAUUAAAGUAAUUUUGGCAUUUUUAGAAAGUGGCCUAUAAUUGUUGACCAAAUUAGUGAGUAAUUGUUUACUUAAUUAAAGUAAACUUUUGCCAUUUUUAGAAAGUGGCCAACUUUAGUGGGACACCCAAAAUAGAAAUGUUGCCAACUUUAAUGGGACGGAGGGAGUA
rnacentral:lncRNA from 1 species